rnacentral:rRNA from 1 species
UAGGGAAUCUUCCACAAUGGGCGCAAGCCUGAUGGAGCAACACCGCGUGAGUGAAGAAGGGUUUCGGGUCGUAAAGCACUGUUGUAUGGGAAGAACAGCUAAAGGGGGGGGGGGGGGGGGGGGGGGGGGGGUAAAAUGAUUUUAGUUUGACGGUACCAUACCAGAAAGGGACGGCUAAAUACGUUCCAG